rnacentral:rRNA from 1 species
UGUGAUGGGGAGCGAAAUUUAGUAGCGAAGUAGCUGAUUUCACACUGUCAAGAAAAGUCUCUAUCGAGGUUAAAGGUACCCGUACCGCAAACCGACACAGGUGGGUGAGGAGAGUAUCCUAAGGCCAGCGAGAGAACUGUUGUUAAGGAACUCGGCAAAAUGACCCCGUAACUUAGGGAUAAGGGGUGCCACCAUCAGGUGGCCGCAGAGAAUAGGCCCAAGCGACUGUUUACCAAAAACAUAGGUUUCUGCUAAGUCGCAAGACGAUGUAUAGGAGCUGACGCCUGCCCGGUGCUGGAAGGUUAAGGGGGUCUGUUAGAGCAAUCGAAGCAGUGAACUUAAGCCCCAGUAAACGGCGGCCGGAACGAUACCGGUCCUAAGGGAGCGAAAUUCCUUGUCGGGUAAGUUCCGACCCGCACGAAAGGCGUAACGAUUUGGGCACUGUCUCAACAACAGACUCGGUGAAAUUGUAAUUCCGGUGAAGAUGCCGGAUACCUGCGACAGGACGGAAAGACCCCAUGGAGCUUUACUGUAG